CGCGGCAAGGCGAUAUGAGACUUGACUCUCCCUUCGUUUUGCAAUUGCACUGCAACAACUCUCCCCAUCUUGCAAGGGAACCAGUUGUAGAAAGAAAGGCGUUCUAGAAGGGAACAGUUAUACAAGGGACCAAAUUAAAAGUCAGAGCACAAUAAGCAAGUGUAAACCCCAAGAAACUACAGAACUAGUUUCUACUCCACCUUCACCAAAACAUGAAGAGUCAGAAGUCUUCGACCGAAAGGACCAGUUGCAUCAUGGCUGUAUGGCGUCAUGGAGGUUUUGGGCGUCCACCAGCAGCCGAAUGUGUUACAGGCCUUUGUCGUUGGAGACAGCACCUGGGAAAUGAAGAACCUGUCAACCAAUGACGUCCAACAACAUUUUCUCAAAUUCCUUAACAGUCACUGGACAGACCGUUCCAGAACCUACCUUCUUCAGGAGGUCGAUUGGAUGGAAGGUUGCCGCGCGUUCUGGGGAGGAUAACAGGGACCGGACAGACCACAGGGGCAUCAUUCGGGCUCUGACAUCCUGU